rnacentral:lncRNA from 1 species
GAAACAGGAAAAGUGGGGGAAGGAGAAAAAGGAGCGGUUGACCCGAGGGCCGAGUUGAUCGGAGCGCCGGCCGGGGACAGAAGGAGCGCGCUUGGUGACAAGUCAGGUGGAGAAGCUCAAGUCUUGAACUCUGCUUGGUUUCCCAGGUACAGGCUAGACCCCACCCACGAUGAUCACUGAAUCACCAGGUGCUGAGGCCUCUUUCUGUUGUCAAGAGCCAGAGACAACUGAAAGAGCCAGAGACAAUUGAAAGUGAGUUAUCUGUGAGUCACUUUGCAAACAGAAUCAUUG